GACGAACGCUGGCGGCGUGCUUAACACAUGCAAGUCGAACGAAGUGGCGAACGGGUGAGUAACGCGUAAUCAACCUGCUCUUCAGCGGGGGACAACAGUUGGAAACGACUGCUAAUACCGCAUACUGAAGGAGGGGAUUGCUUCUGAUUGGCUAGUUGGGGGGGUAACGGCCCACCAAGGCGAUGAUCAGUAGCCGGUCGGGGAGGGGGGACGGGCACAUUGGGACCUGGACAAGGCCCAGGCUCCUACGGGAGGCAGCAGGGGGGAAUCUUCCGGAAUGGACGAAAGUCUGACGGGGCAAAGCCGCGGGAGGGAUGAAGGCCUUCGGGUUGUAAAGCUCUGUUAAUCGGGACGCGGUACCGGAAUAGAAAGCCACGGCUAACUACGUGCCAGCCGCCGCGGUAAUAC
rnacentral:rRNA from 1 species